rnacentral:rRNA from 1 species
GAUCCUGGCUCAGGACGAACGCUGGCGGCGCGCCUAACACAUGCAAGUCGAACGAGAGAGAGGAAGCUUGCUUCCUCAAUCGAGUGGCGAACGGGUGAGUAACGCGUGAGGAACCUGCCUCAAAGAGGGGGACAACAGUUGGAAACGACUGCUAAUACCGCAUAAGCCCACGGCUCGGCAUCGAGCAGAGGGAAAAGGAGUAAUCCGCUUUGAGAUCGCCUCGCGUCCGAUUAGCUAGUUGG